UACGUAGGUGGCAAGCGUUGUCCGGAUUUACUGGGCGUAAAGGGCGUGCAGGCGGUUUGUUAAGUGCAGGGUGAAAGCUCCCGGCUCAACUGGGAGAGGUCCUUGCAUACUGGCAAACUCGAGGGAGGCAGAGGAAAGUGGAAUUCCCGGUGUAGUGGUGAUAUGCGUAGAUAUCGGGAGGAACACCUGUGGCAAAGGCGGCUUUCUGGGGCCUUACCUGACGCUGAGACGCGAAAGCGUGGGGAGCGAACCGG
rnacentral:rRNA from 1 species